ACGCGUCUCUGGAGAGAGCCAUAGGCCACCGAAGGAGUUAAACUCUCAGGUAAAAGGACAGAGGAAG
rnacentral:ncRNA from 1 species